rnacentral:rRNA from 1 species
UAGGGAAUAUUGGACAAUGGGGGCAACCCUGAUCCAGCCAUGCCGCGUGAGUGAAGAAGGCCCCCGGGUUGUAAAGCUCUUUUGUCCGGAAAGAAAAGCAUUCGGUGAAUACCCGGAUGUUCUGACGGUACCGGAAGAAUAAGCACCGGCUAACUUCGUGCCAGCAGCCGCGGUAAUACGAAGGGUGCAAGCGUUACUCGGAAUUACUGGGCGUAAAGCGUGCGUAGGUGGUUGUUUAAGUCUGAUGUGAAAGCCCUGGGCUCAACCUGGGAAUGGCAUUGGNAACUGGGCAGCUAGAGUGCGGUAGAGGGUAGUGGAAUUCCCGGUGUAGCAGUGAAAUGCGUAGAGAUCGGGAGGAACAUCUGUGGCGAAGGCGACUGCCUGGACCAGCACUGACACUGAGGCACGAAAGCGUGGGGAGCAAACA